CUGUUUCAACUUGUUGUGGACAAAUCCAGUGAAUAUGGCUAUCAAUUCCACCUGCAGUGAGAAUCUGCCCUUCGCCAGCAAUGACUUCAGUCGCGGCACCUAAAGGAAUAGUGAUAUUGGGCUGAAUAUCUGGAUUUCCUGCUUUACCAAUUUUCCAUAUUCGGCCAUUUUUCAAGCCGACAUCGGCUUUAACAAUGCCCCACCAAUCGAUAAUUAAGGCAUUGGUAAUAACGGUAUCAGCAACAUCUUGCGCCAAGAGCUGGGACUGCCCCAUCCCAUCCCG
rnacentral:sRNA from 1 species